rnacentral:rRNA from 1 species
AAUCAACGCUGGCGGCGUGCCUAACACAUGCAAGUCGAGCGAGAAAGGGGCUUCGGCCCUGAGUAAAGCGGCGCACGGGUGAGUAACACGUGGGUAAUCUGCCCUCGAGUGGGGAAUAACACCGGGAAACCGGUGCUAAUACCGCAUACGAUCACGAUGUUUUCGGAUGUUGUGAUGAAAGGAGCAAUUCGCUCUUGGAGGAGCCCGCGGCUGAUUAGCUAGUUGGUGAGGUGAUGGCUCACCAAGGCAACGAUCAGUAGCCGGUCUGAGAGGGCGGUCGGCCACCCUGGAACUGAGACACGGUCCAGACUCCUACGGGAGGCAGCAGUGGGGAAUUUUUCGCAAUGGGGGCAACCCUGACGAAGCAACGCCGCGUGGAUGAUGAAGUCUCUUGGGACGUAAAAUCCUUUCGACAGGGAAGAAACCGCAAGGUUGACGGUACCUGUAGAAGAAGCCCCGGCUAACUCCGUGCCAGCAGCCGCAGUAA